rnacentral:lncRNA from 1 species
AUGAACCCGAGUAUAGUGCAAUGCUUCCUUCAGAUCUCUGAAUAUUUCAAAAGGCAGAAUCUUUUGUCUGUCUGGAAAUGUGCCACACUUGUAAUGCAAUUUAUAUCUUUGGAAGAGAUGCCUGCAGGGAUGCAAGCACACAGCAUCCAUGAUUUCAGAUUUCUUCUCCAGCUGCUACCAUAAUAGCUUCCUUUCCUUGGUUCACACUGUUGCUAAAUGCAAACAAAUCAGACUGUCACAGAAUCCACCUGAUACCCGGAGUAAGCUGUAGUCCAGUGAAUCAUCCAUUGACUCAUUCAGCGUAAGCAGCUAUUAAUCUAACCUGGUAUUCGUAUGUACAUGUGAAGGUUGUUUUGACCCAUAGAGUACUGCCUUCACUUUAGAAAGUUUCAAAUUUAGAAGUGUUAGGAUAAGAGGGUACUCCUAUCGUUGUCUCUGCCUUGUACAUGUAUAGAAGGGAUUUUCCAUUCCUGAUAUUACUAGCACUUGAAUUUAGUUAGCGCAUCAGCCAUGUUUAACUUUUCUCUCAGAUUGUUUUUCUCUUAGUCCCCAGUCCUGUUACAGUAUCAUAGUGGACCAAAUCCCAAGUGUCUAUACGUAAGUUACUGAAUUGUGAAAAUUCUUACAUGUAUUUGUAGAUUUGUUAUUGAUCUUUUUCAGUAUAUCUCUUAUCACACUUUGCAUAUUUCUUCCACCACCAAAAAUAACAGAAUUGUUAAAGUACCCCCAGAAUAGCAGCAUGGCUAAUAAUACCAAUAGGGCCAAAAUGAGAAAGCCUAGUAUCAGUGAACUGAAUUUUUAUGUUGAGUUCACAUACACAUUGUGGGUGUAUUUGGAAAUGAGGUCUUUAAAGAAGUAGUAUAGGUUAAAUUAGGUCACAAGGGGGAGGCCUUAAUCGAAUAUGACUGAUGUCCUUGUAAGAAGGGGAAGGGACCCCAGGGCACAGAGAAAAGGCUGUGAGAACACAGCUAAAUGUAGAGGCCUCAGAAGAAAACUAACCAGCUGUCACCUUGAUCUUGGAGUUUUAGUCUCAAGCACUUUGAAAAAAUAAGUUUCUGUUGUUUAAGCCUCCAGUCUGGCAUUUUGUGACGGCCGCCCUGGUAGACCUGGGUUUUAGUUCUGAUUUUAACACUUAAAUCUGCAUGCUGAGAGGGGAGACAUCUGGUUCCCAAAUUGCACCGCCUCAUUUGUGAAAAGAGUAUACGAAAAGCCACACCUUUAUGGGAUCAUUGUGAGAUAGGUCACAAAUUAAGUGACGGUACAUUGUUCCCUCAUAAGAGUUGUAUACUUAUUUCUGAUUACUUUUCUCAUGAUGAUCACUAAAGAGGAAUUUGUCUGAUUUUUUAGAUUUAAAUUUGAAGAUUUUUUUAAUUUUAUUUUUGAGUAAUAAUACUUUUAUUUUAUUCUGGGACAAUGGUCAAAAGAGAGAAAAGAGCCCGAGUGUUGGAAUCUCACAAAACAAAGUCUAGCUACUACCCAUGUAUCUGAUAGCAAGUUAUGGGACUUCUCAGAUCCCAGUUAUUUUUUCUCCAUAAUUGGGUCUGAAAACAGAGUAUAUGAGAUCGUAUGACUAAAUGAGAAUAUGUAGUCCCCGGCCCAUGUUUGCAUCUAAAAAGCCUCUGUUGGCUAAGUUUGUCUCCUCCUGAUAUUUAGGUUCCUCUUUGCCCAGAAUGUAGGAAUUCUGUCUAGAUAUUAUCAUAUUGCUUUCCUUUAUUUCUUAAAGAACAAGCUAACAGCAGCAACACAGCAGCUAAGAAUUGGCGAGGACUUAUGUACUGGGAACCAUAAUAAAUGCUUUAACUGGAUUAAUUUAUGUAAUCUUCACAACUCCCCCAAUAUUAUAUUAAUUGUACACUUAGGAAAACUGAGGCUCAAAGUAGGGUUGCCACAUUGAGGUUUGUCAAAUGUGGCAUAGGUUACACUUAAAUUAAAAAUAUUCAUUGUUUAUUUGAAAUUUCCAUAACUGGC